GACGUAGGGGACGAGCGUUGUCCGGAUUCAUUGGGCGUAAAGAGCGUGUAGGCGGCCAGGUAGGUCGGUUGUGAAAACUGGAGGCUCAACCUUCAGAGGUCGACCGAAACCAUCUGGCUAGAGUCCGGGAGAGGAGAGUGGAAUUCCUGGUGUAGCGGUGAGAUGCGCAGAUAUCAGGAAGAACACCCGUGGCGAAAGCGGCUCUCUGGAACGGUACUGACGCUGAGACGCGAAAGCGUGGGGAGCGAACAGGAUUAGAUACCCGUUGUA
rnacentral:rRNA from 1 species